UACGGAGGGUGCAAGCGUUGUUCGGAAUCACUGGGCGUAAAGGGCGCGUAGGCGGUUUGAUAAGUCAGAUGUGAAAUCCCACGGCUUAACUGUGGAAGUGCAUUUGAAACUGUCAGACUUGAGUACCAGAGGGGAAAGUGGAAUUCCCGGUGUAGAGGUGAAAUUCGUAGAUAUCGGGAGGAAUACCGGUGGCGAAGGCGACUUUCUGGCUGGAUACUGACGCUGAGGCGCGAAAGCGUGGGGAGCAAAC
rnacentral:rRNA from 1 species